CCAUUUUAUGUUCUCGUUAUUACGAUGUACAUGCUCUGUCAUUGCUCCGUAGUAAACAUUGAAAAAUAUUGAAUAUUUUUGUGAUUGUGACAAACAUUUGUGUCUAAAACAUAUAGAGUGGUCAAGGACAAAUAGUGGCAUAAUGCCAAAGCGCAGUAUUGUGGGAUGUGGCUCCGGAAAGAAUGAAAACCAGAAAAGUUUGUCUUUGCACCGGUUACCAAGAAGUGAAAAUAGAAAAGGAAAAUGGUUAGAAGCAAUUGAAACUGAAAAUAUCAAGCCAAAUGUAAAGGAUAUAUCAUAGUAUGUUCCCUACAUUUCCCCGAAAGUGCUUUCAAUAGAACAAUGGAUGUGAUUAGUCUGCACGAUGAUGCUAUACCAGUAUGUUUGCCGCUGCAUUCACACAGGGUACCGGUUGAGCCUCAAAUCCCGAACUCAAAAAUGAACAGAGUGAAUCCGAGUGCAUCACAGGCUGCACGAAAUAGUUUAGUUCUAUAAUUUUCUCUGUUAUUAAGUAAUUAUUGUUUUUUUUUUUCUAUUACCUACUGUAUAUUGUGU